UGCUAAUCCCGCGCGAAGAAAACGAAAGUAAAAACAAACAAAAUAGCAGCGGCCACGCCCGCACGACUCGCCAGUUUCGUGUUCGUUGCCCUCAUUUCCCCACUUCCUCCUUCAAACACGAGCGCGUAGCAACCGCAGUUCUCCACGACCUCAUGGCGUUCCCCUCCCGACCUAGGUGGAGGCACCCGAAAUCGAGGGGUCUCACGCGGCGAUGGUCCGGACCUGCAGGCAGCGGCAGCAGAAAUUGAUGGCCUAGCUCGGCGGCAGCCCGCCGGACCUAGGCAGCGGCGGUAGCCGAAAUCAGGGGCCCCGGACGUAACCGGGCCUAGGAAUACCCCUAAGAAGAUGAGAUCUCUAGCGCCAGGGUGGACGAUGCCGCCGAUGCCCUCGGCCUCGAAGUCUCCACCACCGCCCUUGAGUCCCUUCAAGACGCCACCUCGCCUGACCAAGGUCACCAAGAAGACAGUUGGAGGGGAAGAGCAGGAUGGUCAUGGAAUAUGCCAGUGCCGCGGGAAUCAAGAGCGAGGAGAGGAAGCAGCCGAGCAGGCUGCGGCGACACCUUGCUCUAGGUGGCGGUGUCUGGCUCAGUUGAUGG